AGCACGCCGCGUGAGUGAAGAAGGGUUUCGGCUCGUAAAGCUCUGUUGGUAGUGAAGAAAGAUAGAGGUAGUAACUGGCCUUUAUUUGACGGUAAUUAAUUAGAAAGUCACGGCUAACUACGUGCCAGCAGCCGCGGUAAUACGUAGGUGGCAAGCGUUGUCCGGAUUUAUUGGGCGUAAAGCGAGUGCAGGCGGUUCAAUAAGUCUGAUGUGAAAGCCUUCGGCUUAACCGGAGAAUUGCAUCAGAAACUGUGGAACUUGAGUGCAGAAGAGGAGAGUGGAACUCCAUGUGUAGCGGUGAAAUA
rnacentral:rRNA from 1 species